GUGGGGAAUAUUGGACAAUGGGCGAAAGCCUGAUCCAGCCAUGCCGCGUGUGUGAAGAAGGUCUUCGGAUUGUAAAGCACUUUAAGUUGGGAGGAAGGGCAGUAAGUUAAUACCUUGCUGUUUUGACGUUACCGACAGAAUAAGCACCGGCUAACUUCGUGCCAGCAGCCGCGGUAAUACGAAGGGUGCAAGCGUUAAUCGGAAUUACUGGGCGUAAAGCGCGCGUAGGUGGUUUUGUAAGUUGGAGGUGAAAUCCCCGGGCUCAACGUGGGAAAGGCCUCCAAAACUGCAUGACUAGAGUACGGUAGAGGGUAGUGGAAUUUCCUGUGUAGCGGUGAAAUGCGUAGAUAUAGGAAGGAACACCAGUGGCGAAGGCGACUACCUGGACUGAUACUGACACUGAGGUGCGAAAGCGUGGGGAGCAAACAGGAUUAGAUACCCCGGUAGUCC
rnacentral:rRNA from 1 species